UACGAAGGGGGCUAGCGUUGCUCGGAAUUACUGGGCGUAAAGGGUGCGUAGGCGGGUCUUUAAGUCAGGGGUGAAAUCCUGGAGCUCAACUCCAGAACUGCCUUUGAUACUGAAGAUCUUGAGUCCGGGAGAGGUGAGUGGAACUGCGAGUGUAGAGGUGAAAUUCGUAGAUAUUCGCAAGAACACCAGUGGCGAAGGCGGCUCACUGGCCCGGUACUGACGCUGAGGUGCGAAAGCGUGGGGAGCAAACAGG
rnacentral:rRNA from 1 species